UCAGGCCUAACACAUGCAAGUCGAACGGAGAAUUCGGCUAAGUUUACUUAGAAGGAUUCUUAGUGGCGGACGGGUGAGUAACGCGUGGGUAACCGACCCUGAAGCGGGGGACAACCCGGGGAAACUCGGGCUAAUACCGCAUAAGACCACGAACUGGAACGUUAGUGGUAAAAGUAGCAAUACACUUCAGGACGGGCCUGCGGCCUAUCAGGUAGUUGGCGGGGUAACGGCCCACCAAGCCGACGACGGGUAGCCGGACUGAGAGGUUGAACGGCCACACUGGAACUGAGACACGGUCCAGACUCCUACGGGAGGCAGCAGUGGGGAAUUUUGCGCAAUGGGCGAAAGCCUGACGCAGCGGCGCCGCGUGGAGGAUGAAGGUCUUCGGGUCGUAAACUCCUUUUGUAGGGGAAGAUAAUGACGGUACCCUAUGAAUAAGCCACGGCUAACUCUGUGCCAGCAGCCGCGGUAAU
rnacentral:rRNA from 1 species